UACAGAGGGGGCAAGCGUUAUUCGGAAUUAUUGGGCGUAAAGGGCGCGUAGGCGGCUUUUCAAGUGACGGGUGAAAUCCCUCGGCUUAACCGAGGAACUGCCUGUCAGACUGGAAGGCUUGAGACCGGGAGAGGUGAGUGGAAUUCCCAGUGUAGCGGUGAAAUGCGUAGAUAUUGGGAGGAACACCAGUGGCGAAGGCGGCUCACUGGACCGGAACUGACGCUGAGGAGCGAAAGCGUGGGUAGCAAACAGG
rnacentral:rRNA from 1 species